rnacentral:rRNA from 1 species
UACGGGGGGAGCAAGCGUUGUUCGGAUUUACUGGGCGUAAAGGGCGCGUAGGCGGCCACCGCAAGUCGGUUGUGAAAUCUCUGGGCUUAACCCAGAAAGGUCAACCGAUACUGCGGGGCUAGAGUGCAGAAGGGGCAACUGGAAUUCUCGGUGUAGCGGUGAAAUGCGUAGAUAUCGAGAGGAACACCUGCGGCGAAGGCGGGUUGCUGGGCUGACACUGACGCUGACAGCGCGAAAGCUAGGGGAGCAAAGCGGG